GACGUAGGGGGCAAGCGUUGUCCGGAAUCAUUGGGCGUAAAGCGCUCGUAGGUGGAUCGGUAAGUCUGCAAAGAAAGACCCGGGCUCAACUCGGGGAACGGUGUGGAUACUACCGAUCUUGAGGCAAUCAGAGGAUGAUGGAAUUCCCGGUGUAGCGGUGAAAUGCGCAGAUAUCGGGAGGAACACCGGUGGCGAAGGCGGUUCUCUGGGCCUUACCUGACGCUGAGGAGCGAAAGCGUGGGGAGCGAACAGG
rnacentral:rRNA from 1 species